AUAAGCUUUUAGCGUUUUUAUUGUUAAUAAAAAGAAGAUUUUAAAGAAAGUUAA
rnacentral:tRNA from 1 species